rnacentral:rRNA from 1 species
UGGGGAAUAUUGGACAAUGGGCGCAAGCCUGAUCCAGCCAUGCCGCGUGAGUGAUGAAGGCCCUAGGGUUGUAAAGCUCUUUCACCGGUGAAGAUAAUGACGGUAACCGGAGAAGAAGCCCCGGCUAACUUCGUGCCAGCAGCCGCGGUAAUACGAAGGGGGCUAGCGUUGUUCGGAUUUACUGGGCGUAAAGCGCACGUAGGCGGACUUUUAAGUCAGGGGUGAAAUCCCGGGGCUCAACCCCGGAACUGCCUUUGAUACUGGAAGUCUUGAGUAUGGUAGAGGUGAGUGGAAUUCCGAGAGUAGAGGUGAAAUUCGUAGAUAUUCGGAGGAACACCAGUGGCGAAGGCGGCUCACUGGACCAUUACUGACGCUGAGGUGCGAAAGCGUGGGGAGCAAACAGG